rnacentral:rRNA from 1 species
CCUAAGGUGAUCGAGAGAACUCUCGUUAAGGAACUCGGCAAAAUGACCCCGUAACUUCGGGAGAAGGGGUGCUCUGUUAGGGUGCAAGCCCGAGAGAGCCGCAGUGAAUAGGCCCAGGCGACUGUUUAGCAAAAACACAGGUCUCUGCGAAGCCGUAAGGCGAAGUAUAGGGGCUGACGCCUGCCCGGUGCUGGAAGGUUAAGAGGAGCGCUUAGCGUAAGCGAAGGUGCGAAUUGAAGCCCCAGUAAACGGCGGCCGUAACUAUAACGGUCCUAAGGUAGCGAAAUUCCUUGUCGGGUAAGUUCCGACCCGCACGAAAGGCGCAACGAGCUGGGCACUGUCUCAACGAGAGACUCGGUGAAAUUAUAGUACCUGUGAAGAUGCAGGUUACCCGCGACAGGACGGAAAGACCCCGUGGAGCUUUACUGCAGCCUGAUAUUGAAUGUUGGUACAGCUUGUACAGGAUAGGUAGGAG